rnacentral:rRNA from 1 species
UACGUAGGGUGCGAGCGUUGUCCGGAAUUAUUGGGCGUAAAGAGCUCGUAGGCGGUGUGUCGCGUCGGCCGUGAAAACCUGCAGCUUAACUGUGGGCUUGCGGUCGAUACGGGCAUCACUGGAGUUCGGCAGGGGAGACUGGAAUUCCUGGUGAUAGCGGUGAAAUGCGCAGAUAUCAGGAGGAACACCGGUGGCGAAGGCGGGUCUCUGGGCCGAUACUGACGC